GAAUGGAGGAAUCUGUCCAGAGCUGUGCCCCUGCUUGCCACAGGAGCUGCGCGGGAGGAGAAGAACGUGGGCCAAAAGGAAUGGAGGAAUCUGUCCAGAGCUGUGCCCCUGCUUGCCACAGGAGCUGCGCGGGAGGAGAAGAACGUGGGCCAAAAGGAAUGGAGGAAUCUGUCCAGAGCUGUGCCCCUGCUUGCCACAGGAGCUGCGCGGGAGGAGAAGAACGUGGCCAAAAGGUAAGAGGAGCUCCUUUGGGUUCUGGGCUUGAAGCAAAGCUGAGAAGCCAUGCCCGGGAGGAGGUGUGGGUAGCUACAGGCCACCUUGCUAUCUCCCCAAGAGAUGAGGUGUGUGGGCUAGGCACCGGGCAGGAGUGCUGGCCAGAAGCAAGCAUCUCUGUGGAGGAAGGCAAAGGGCGGAGGAGGUUCAAGGGUAGCUACCGGGCAUGGCCUUGCUCAGCAAGGGGAGGAAAAGCCUGAAGGGCAC
ensembl:lncRNA